rnacentral:rRNA from 1 species
AUAGAGUCAAGUGAUAAAGCGCAUAUGGUGGAUGCCUUGGCAGUCAGAGGCGAUGAAGGACGUGGAAACCUGCGAAAAGCUUUGGGGAGCUGGUAAACAAGCUUUGAUCCGAAGAUGUCCGAAUGGGGAAACCCACUGAGCUUGCUCAGUAUCUUGAUCUGAAUACAUAGGAUUAAGAGGCGCACCUGGGGAACUGAAACAUCUAAGUACCCAGAGGAAAAGAAAUCAACCGAGAUUCCCUUAGUAGCGGCGAGCGAACGGGGAUUAGCCCAAAAGUGCAGAUUAGUUUAGUGGAAGGUUCUGGAAAGAACGGCCGUAGAGGGUGAUAGCCCCGUACACGACAAGCUUUUUUGCAUGAAAAUGAGUAGGACGGGACACGAGAAAUCCUGUUUGAAUAUGGGGGGACCAUCCUCCAAGGCUAAAUACUCCUGACUGACCGAUAGUGAACCAGUACCGUGAGGGAAAGGUGAAAAGCACCCCGGAGAGGGGAGUGAAAUAGCUCCUGAAACCGUAUGCGUACAAGCAGUCGGAGCAGACAUGUUCUGUGACGGCGUACCUUUUGUAUAAUGGGUCAGCGACUUACAUUCAGUGGCGAGGUUAACCGUAUAGGGGAGCCGUAGCGAAAGCGAGUCCUAACCGGCGCGAGUCGCUGGAUGUAGACCCGAAACCGAGCGAUCUACCCAUGGGCAGGUUGAAGGUUGAGUAACAUCAACUGGAGGACCGAACCGGGAUCUGUUGAAAAAGAUUCGGAUGACCUGUGGGUCGGAGUGAAAGGCUAAUCAAGCUCGGAGAUAGCUGGUUCUCCUCGAAAGCUAUUUAGGUAGCGCCUCGAGCGAAUACCAUUGGGGGUAGAGCACUGUUUGGGCUAGGGGGUCAUCCCGACUUACCAACCCCAUGCAAACUCCGAAUACCAAUGAGUACUACUCGGGAGACACACGGCGGGUGCUAACGUCCGUCGUGAAAAGGGAAACAACCCAGACCGCCAGCUAAGGCCCCAAAAUUCUAGUUAAGUGGGAAACGAUGUGGGAAGGCUAAAACAGCUAGGAGGUUGGCUUAGAAGCAGCCACCCUUUAAAGAAAGCGUAAUAGCUCACUAGUCGAGUCGGCCUGCGCGGAAGAUAUAACGGGGCUAAACUAGGUGCCGAAGCUGCGGGUGCAUCUUAGGAUGCGCGGUAGAGGAGCGUUCUGUACGCCUGUGAAGGUGGAUUGAAAAGUCUGCUGGAGGUAUCAGAAGUGCGAAUGCUGACAUGAGUAACGACAAAGGGCGUGAAAAACGCCCUCGCCGGAAGACCAAGGGUUCCUAUCCCAUGCUAAUCAGGGUAGGGUGAGUCGGCCCCUAAGGCGAGGCUGAAAAGCGUAGUCGAUGGGAAACGGGUGAAUAUUCCCGUACUGCUUAUUACUGCGAUGGGGGGACGGAGAAGGCUAGGCCAGCGUGGUGAUGGUAAUCCACGUAAAAGCAGGUAGGUCGUGAUUUUAGGCAAAUCCGGAAUCACAAACCGAGAUGCGAGACGAUAAAGCUUCGGCUUUAAAGUGGUUGAUGCCCCGCUUCCAAGAAAAGCCUCUAAGCUUCAGGUAAUAAGUAACCGUACCCCAAACCGACACAGGUGGUCAGGUCGAGAAGACCAAGGCGCUUGAGAGAACUCGGGUGAAGGAACUAGGCAAAAUGGUGCCGUAACUUCGGGAGAAGGCACGCUGCAUUAAUGUGAACGCCCUGCGGCGGGAGCAUGAAGCAGUCGAAGAUACCAGGCCCCUGCAACUGUUUAUUAAAAACACAGCACUGUGCAAACACGUAAGUGGACGUAUACGGUGUGACGCCUGCCCGGUGCCGGAAGGUUAAUUGAUGGGGUUAGCGCAAGCGAAGCUCUUGAUCGAAGCCCCGGUAAACGGCGGCCGUAACUAUAACGGUCCUAAGGUAGCGAAAUUCCUUGUCGGGUAAGUUCCGACCUGCACGAAUGGCGUAAUGAUGGGGGCACUGUCUCCACCCGAGACUCAGUGAAAUUGAAAUCGCAGUGAAGAUGCUGUGUAUCCGCGGCUAGACGGAAAGACCCCGUGAACCUUUACUAUAGCUUCACAGUGGACUUUGAUGUUGCUUGUGUAGGAUAGGUGGGAGGCUAAGAAGCAGUCACGCCAGUGAUUGUGGAGCCAACCUUGAAAUACCACCCUGGCAACCUUGAGGUUCUAACUCAGAUCUGUGAUCCAGAUCGAGGACAUUGUGUGGUGGGUAGUUUGACUGGGGCGGUCUCCUCCCAAAGCGUAACGGAGGAGCGCGAAGGUACCCUCAGCAUGGUUGGAAAUCAUGCAAUGAGUGCAAGAGCAUAAGGGUGCUUGACUGUGAGACAGACACGUCGAACAGGUGCGAAAGCAGGUUCUAGUGAUCCGGUGGUUCUGUAUGGAAGGGCCAUCGCUCAACGGAUAAAAGGUACUCCGGGGAUAACAGGCUGAUACCGCCCAAGAGUUCACAUCGACGGCGGUGUUUGGCACCUCGAUGUCGGCUCAUCACAUCCUGGGGCUGAAGUCGGUCCCAAGGGUAUGGCUGUUCGCCAUUUAAAGUGGUACGCGAGCUGGGUUUAGAACGUCGUGAGACAGUUCGGUCCCUAUCUGCCGUGGACGUUGGAGAUUUGAGAAGAGUUGCUCCUAGUACGAGAGGACCGGAGUGAACGAACCUCUGGUGUUCGGGUUGUUCUGCCAAGAGCAUUGCCCGGUAGCUAAGUUCGGACGGGAUAACCGCUGAAAGCAUCUAAGCGGGAAGCCUCCUUUAAGAUAAGAUCUCCCUGAGCUUUAAGCUCCUAAAGGGCCCAGUAAGACCAACUGGUUGAUAGGUCGGGUGUGGAAGCGCUGCGAGGCGUUGAGCUAACCGAUACUAAUGACCCGUGAGGCUUGACUCU